GAAACGGCGCCGCCGCGAGAAAGGAGCCGGCGACAGCUUGGUUCCUGCGCGGAUGCUGGGGCCGUAGGCACCGCGCUUUCGGCUGCUUGCGGCUCGCAGGGAGGAGGACGCCGCGGCCCGCUUUCCCUCCGCCGCCUCCGCCACUGCCAUGAUUCCAGUGUCGCUGGUGGUAGUGGUGGUGGGCGGCUGGACUGCCGUCUACCUGACCGACUUGGUGCUGAAGUCAUCUGUGUAUUUUAAGCAUUCUUAUGAAGACUGGCUGGAAAACAAUGGAUUGAGCAUCUCCCCUUUUCACAUAAGAUGGCAAACUGCUGUUUUCAAUCGUGCCUUUUACAGUUGGGGACGGCGGAAAGCAAGGAUGCUUUACCAGUGGUUCAAUUUUGGAAUGGUGUUUGGCAUCAUUGCCAUGUUCAGCUCUUUUUUCCUCCUUGGGAGAACGCUGAUGCAGACUUUGGCACAAAUGAUGGCUGACUCUCCCUCUUAUUCUUCUUCCUCUUCUUCCUCUUCCUUUUCUUCUUCCUCCUCUUCCUCUUCAUCAUCUUCCUCUUCUUCCUCUUCUUCCUCCUCUUCCUCCUCCUCCUCACUUCACAAUGACCAAGUGCUACAAGUUGUGGUUCCUGGUAUAAAUUUACCUGUCAACCAACUGACCUAUUUCUUCGCUGCAGUUCUCAUUAGUGGUGUUGUACAUGAAAUCGGACAUGGGAUAGCAGCUAUUAGGGAACAAGUUCGAUUUAAUGGCUUUGGGAUUUUUCUCUUCAUUAUUUAUCCUGGAGCAUUUGUUGAUCUGUUCACCACUCAUUUGCAACUUAUAUCACCAGUCCAGCAGCUAAGGAUAUUCUGUGCAGGUAUAUGGCAUAAUUUUGUCCUUGCACUCCUUGGCAUUUUAGCUCUUGUUCUCCUCCCUGUAAUUCUCUUGCCAUUUUACUACACUGGAGUCGGGGUGCUCAUCACUGAAGUUGCUGAGGACUCACCUGCCAUUGGACCCAGAGGCCUUUUUGUGGGAGACCUUGUCACCCAUCUACAGGAUUGUCCUGUUACUAAUGUACAAGAUUGGAAUGAAUGUCUAGAUACCAUCGCCUAUGAGCCCCAAAUUGGUUACUGUAUUAGUGCAUCAACUUUACAGCAGUUAAGCUUCCCAGUUAGAGCGUACAAACGGCUAGAUGGUUCGACUGAAUGCUGUAACAAUCACAGCCUCACAGAUGUGUGCUUUUCCUACAGAAAUAACUUUAAUAAGCGUUUGCACACAUGCCUACCUGCCCGGAAAGCAGUUGAAGCCACACAAGUUUGUAGAACCAAUAAAGAUUGUAAAAAAAGUUCAAGUUCAAGUUUCUGUAUAAUACCUUCUUUGGAAACUCACACUCGCUUAAUAAAAGUGAAACAUCCACCUCAAAUUGAUAUGUUGUAUGUAGGCCAUCCACUGCACCUUCACUACACAGUGAGCAUCACCAGCUUUAUUCCACGUUUCAACUUUCUAAGCAUAGAUCUGCCUGUCGUUGUGGAGACAUUUGUCAAGUACCUGAUCUCCCUCUCAGGAGCUCUGGCUAUUGUCAAUGCAGUGCCCUGUUUUGCUUUGGAUGGUCAGUGGAUUUUAAACUCUUUCCUAGAUGCUACCCUUACCUCAGUGAUUGGAGACAAUGAUAUCAAAGAUCUGAUAGGAUUUUUCAUCUUGCUUGGAGGCAGUGUACUCUUGGCUGCCAACGUGACCCUGGGACUCUGGAUGGUUACGGCACGGUAAUAUUUGCACUCAUCUGGCAGAAUGAUACUUUAUAUGAAAUAGAAAGCGUUUCCUUAAAAUUACGUUUUAACCAACAACUUUAAGCUCCUCCUGUAUCAGAAUAUCCGAACUCUGGGAUGAGGGAUAAAAAGAAGAAAUGAAAGGCAUGGUCCUGACUACAUUCUACUUUUAAAGACUGAACUUAACAAACUUCGGAUGCUUGCAGAACAAUUUCUAAACAAGUGAAAAUUCACAUAAAAGCAUUUUGUGUGACUCCUAUCAUAUUGCGGUAGUGUAAAGGAGGACAAAAUUGAGUAGAAUUAAUCAAGGAAAACUUUUUUAAAAAGCAUCAUUAAUCCAGAUUUGAAGAAGACCAGAUUCUGGCCAAGAGGAAGGGUCUACACUCAAUAUCAGGCUUGAGCUCACAACGCUGAGAUCAAGAGUCACAUGCUCUACCAACUGAGCCAGGCAGGUACCUCUGAAUAUGGCAUAAUUAACCAACCUCUAUUAUUUAUAAUUUUGCAAUGCUAUAAACAAAGCUGUGAGGAAUAUACCUAAAACUAAAUCUUUCUGUGUAUCUAUGAUUAUUUGGUUAAUUCUAGAAACUCUUAAAAGAAAAAUUCCUAUCUUGAAAUGUGAACAUUUUAUAUAUAUAUAUAUAUAUCCUUGUUGCAAUUACAUUUUUUUCUCUUAUUUGGAUAUGCAAAAUGGCAUCUCAUUUUAAUUUGCAUUUCUUUGAUUAGAAAAAGGUUGAACAUUUUUAAAUGUAUUUAUUGGCCAUUGUGUUCUCUUUUUUUUAUCCCCAUCCUUUGCCCAUUUUUCAUGGGAGUGAUUAUUGUCUUACUGCUUUUUAUCAUAAGCUCAGUUCUGCUAUUUGAUUUGUUACAUGUGAAUAAAUUAAAACUUCAUUUAAGUAUAAUGCUAAUGCUUAUUUUUAGGUUUUUAUAUAUCAUGAUCUGUCAAGGUUUGCCUUAUAUUUUCCACCUUUGGUAAAAUGUUUUCAAAGUCUUCUCAAGAUUUUAUAAAUAUUCACAAACAUUUUAUGGUAAUUUUAUGAUUUCAUUUUUUCAAACAUUAAUUUAUAUGCAAUGUAUUUUGAUAUUGGUGCAAAGUAGGAAUAUCACUUUGUAUUUUGUUAUCUUCAACUAAUUAACCCAGUCAUCUCAAAGGAGAUGGUUAAUCUAAAGAGGUAUUUCAUACCAGCCAGAAAGAGGAAUAAAUUUAUAUCCUUUGGAAAGAAUAGAAAUAAUAAGUGAAAUUAUCUCUCAUUUGAUAAGCCAUUCUUAUUUAUUUAGGAGGCAUAUAUUUAUCAUUUACUUUUUCAAUUCAGUAAUACAGUGAAUUGAGAAUAUGUCUCAUACUUUAAUUGACAAGAGUCCUUAAAUCAUUUUUUCCCUAAGGUAUUUUUUUUAAGAUUUUAUUUAUUUAUUCAUGAGAGACACAGAGAGGCAGAGACAUAGGCAGAGGGAGAAGCAGGCUCCCUGUAGGGACCCCGAUGUGGGACUCGAUCCCAGGACCCCAGGACCAUGCCCUGAGCCAAAGGAAGACGCUCAACCAGUGAGCCAUCCAGGCGUCCCUAAGAUAUGUUUAUUUUUAUUAAAAUAGUGUUUCUCAUUCCUAGAUUAGAUUCCUAACCUAUAUUCCUAAACAAUAUAGAUUAGCAAUCUGGAGAUUAUCCUUAAUACAUUAUAUAUCAUUAUCUAAAGGUACCAUUUCUAUUAACUUCUUAAUUAAAAUGUUUUUUUACUUCUUAGAUUUUCAAGCUUUAAUUCCUCUCUCUGUGGAUUGUUUAAUAUUAGUCUUUAAAGGUUAGAAAAAUCUAUCUUUGGGUGACGGGCACUGGGGGUUAUUCUGUAUGUUAGUAAAUUGAACACCAAUAAAAAAUAAAUUAAAAAAAAAAAAAAAGAAAAAUCUAUCUUUGGAAUAGAUGUCCUGAUUUUAAAGUAAGUAUUUUAUCUUCAUCUGUUUUAAUUAUAUAAUGAUUUUAAGUUUGGAGCACUGCAUUCCUUGAUUACUUGUUCAAAAUAUGCAUUUUUAAUCAUGGUUUAAAAUCAUGAAAAUAAGAGGUAGCUAGGAUACUAUGAAUUUGUAUUUUAUUUCUUAUAAAAUUUGAAAACUGCUUUUUUCCCCCAUUUAAAAUGUUUUUCUUCUGAGAUCAUUGUAGUUGGUUUUUAAAUUUGCCUAAUUUUAGAAUAUGACUCUUGUGAAUAUGCUACUCCAGGAGAUGGUUAUUGGAUUUAAAAGUUUCCAUUUUUCUUGCUUAUCCCCAUUCUGUAGUCACUAGAACUGAUACAAAUAUUCUUUCAUUCAUUUAAGAAGUAUUUAUUGCAUACUUACUGUAUUCAUGGCAUUGUCCUGGGUUCUGGGGAUACAGCAAUAAAUAAGACAAUUUUCCUCUUUUGUAUUUUGUAAGGAAAAUACCAUUUAUUUUUAAAAUAAUAAAUAUAUGCUAAGCAUUACUAAGUGUUAUAAGAGAUUAAGCCAAGAAGGUUGGCAGAGGCUAGGUCUUAGAAAUAGGUUAUGGACGUUAGCCUAAUUGCAAAUGGGAAGUCAUUGAAAGUCUCAAGCAAGGGAGUGACAUAAUCAGAUUUGCAUUUUGGUGGAUCACCUUGACUAAGGGUAAAACAUUGGAGGGAGGCAAGUCUGGAGGCAAAGAAAUUGGUUAGGAGAUUAUUUCACUAAUCUUGGCAAGAGAUGGUGGUUAUAUAAAAUAGAAUGGGGACAGAAGAGGUUGAAAGAGAGAAGAGGACAAGGGAAAAGUAGGAUCCAUUGUGUUUGAUGGUUUCAUGUAGUUUAGAUUCAAGAAGGAAUCAAGAAGACUUCAGGUUUCUGGCUUGGACAAUUGAAUGGUAGCAGUGCCAUUAACAGCUAGGGAACAUCAGAAAAGGAGUAGUUCAGUUUUGUUUUUUAAAAGAUUUUAUUCAUUUAUUCAUGAGAGACACACAGAGAGGCAGAGACAUAGGCAAAGGGAAAAGCUGGCUCCAUGCAGGGAGCCAGAUGUGGGAUUCAAUCCAAAGACAAACGCUCAACCGCUGAGCCACCCAGGCAUCCCAGCAGUUUAAUUUGGAACUCUUGAGUUUGACUGCCUGGGAAAACUUCAAGUGGAUUGUUGGAUGUACAGGUCUGAAACUCUGUAGAAAUUAGUUGGAGACACCAUGUACAAGCUGAUGCACCCCAAUAUGUAAUUAAACCCAUGGGAGUGGAUAGUCUAAAGAGAAUGUAGAAUAAUGAAAAGGAAAGAGAAGGUGUCCUAGGAUAGAGCACUCAGGAACACCACCAUAUAGGUAAAAAGGGGUUCAAGGAAGAGGAAAAACGAACUUUAGAAAAUUAGGAAGAAAACCACAAGUGAGAGUUUGGUAUUAGAAAAACAAAGGGAGGGACACCGGGGUGGCUCAGCAGUUGGGUGCCUGCCUUUAGCUGAGGGUGUGAUCCCGGAGUCCCGGGAUCAAGUUCCACAUCGAGCUCCCUGCAUGGAGCCUGCUUCUCCCUCUGCCUGUGUCUCUGCCUCUGUGUGUGUGUGUGUGUCUCUCAUGAAUAAAUAAAUAAAUAAAAAUUUUAAAAAACGGAAGAGAAUAUAUCAAUAUGUCAGUAAUGUGAGAUAUUACUGAGAGAGGCUGCCAGAUGUCCACAGGCUUUAGCAGUUCAUAGGUGAUCUUGAGAGAGCAGCCUCAGUGCAGCAUGGAAAGCUGAGCCAGGUUGUAGUGGAUGGAGAAGUGGGGGGUAGGGGUGCAGGGAGAGGCUACAAAUGCAGAAAAUGUGCCCAAGAAGUUCCAUUUUGGGGUGGGCGCCUGGGUGGUUCAGUCAGUUGGGUAUCUGACCGUUGAUUUGGGCUCAGGCCAUGAUCUUGGCAUCAUGGGAUGGAGCCUGGGCAUGGCACCAAGUCUGCCUGAGAUUCUCCCUCUCCCUCUGCCCCACCCCUGCUCACACUUGCAUUCUCUCUCUCUCUCUCUCUCUCUCUCUCUCUCUCUCUCAAAUAAAUAAAAUCUUAAAAAGCAGUGUUCUAUUUGGAAGGGGUGGGGAGAAAUGGGACUUGAUGUAGGCUGUAGAGGAAAGUGUCAUUAUUGUUGUUAUUGUUUUAGCAAUGGGAAAAUCAUGGAUAUGUUUUUGGUGCUGACGGGGAGAACCCGAGUAAAAGAAAGUAGAUCAUCAAGGGAGGAGAUGGGAUCUAGAGUGCAAGUAGAGCAAUAGUCUUUACCAAGAAAGAUGCCUUCUCUAAGAGGGGGAAAAAGGAAAAAUGGGUGCAAAUACAGUUAUCUUGAUUCCAAAGUGUCUAGAAGAGUGCUUGACACAGAGUAGGCACUCUAGAAAUCUCUGUUGAAUAAGAUGGAGUCCUCAUAUAACUGCAAGGAGCAGUUUAGCCAACCCCCCUUCUAGAUAAGACAUAUUGCAGAGGCACUUGAAGAACAGGUGCAGAAUUUCCUGAUUUUGAGAAUGUUCUUUGUUCUCAGGAAACACAUGGCUGAAGUAUAGAAGUUGAAAGGGUCCAGAAUAAGACACUGUGGCAUAAAAAUGAUUUUGAGCUGAAGGCAUUUGAGUUACUAAAAUGGUUUAUCUGCCUAAAAGCAGAGCUUCGCAAAGGAUCUCAACUGUCAUAAAUCUCCUACCCAGGAGCACCUCUAAUCUUCUCAAGCAGGCAUUGACACAAAACUAUCAUAUCUCCCACCACUUCUUCUAGGGGCCCAUUUAUUUUUCCAAAAAGUCAUUUGUUUUUUUCAUAAGUGCCCUCUCUCCCCUCCUUCUAAGAAGUAUUUACUCUCCCAGAAGUGACCCUCUGCCCCCUACCCAUCCCCUCUUAGAUGACUGAUAAGCCCCAAAUUCUAAUUGCCUUGAGUCACAUUUCUCUGUGAACUCCUGUCCUAUGUGUAUAAAUCAAUGUGUUUUUCUCUUGUUCAUCUGUCUUUUGUCAGUUUAAUUUGCAGACAUCAAAUCAUUAACCUAAGAAUAGAGGAAAAUUUUUUUUCUCUCUGAUAGACUAAAGGGGCAUGAUGUGUGAAACUUAACUCUCACAUGGUUCAGAGAGAAAGAUGAUAAUACCAAAAUGGCAAAAUGUUAACAAUUGUUGAAUCUCAAGGGCAUAAGGGAAUCUUUUGUACUCUUUUUAUUCCUUUGUACUCUUCUUAGAACUUCUGUUUGAAAUUGCUUCAAAAUAAAAUGAUUUUUUAAAAAAAAGAA